UCAAUGCAAAGAAAAAUAUUAAAAAAGGUAGAAUAGAAGAGCAAGUUUUUGAUAAUCCUAUGCAAAUAGAAGGAAGUGAACAAAGAGAAAACAAUAGCGAUGAAAGUGUAGUUGAAGAAAACAUUAACUAUGAAACCAACACUCAUACAAAAGGAAGAAAAAAGGGAGAUACUAAGGAAGUACUGCUAAUAAAAACACAAGAAGAAGCAAAACAUUAUGAGGAGAGACUUCGACAACAAAGUGUAAGACGGUCAAAUAGAAAUAAACAACCAGUAGAAAAAUACCAAGCAAUGACAUGUGAAAAUAUUCUAAAAAA
rnacentral:lncRNA from 1 species